ACAGUAUUUACCUCACUCAGUUAUAGUGUCGGCCUUGCUUCAUAGUGAGGAUUAGGGAGUCUCAAUCCAGAGAUCCCCAAAUCCUAAAACAAAGAGAAAAGAUCUCUCUUGAAGACUAACUUUAGAAUUAUAUACGAUGAUACAGUAUGAUUCAAAAACCAUUUAUGGGUACCAGAGAAUUCAAAAUUUAGACAGGAUAUCUUGAAAGAGGCACAUUCUUCUCGACUAUCUAUUAAUCCUGG
rnacentral:lncRNA from 1 species